GAUGAACGCUAGCGACAGGCUUAACACAUGCAAGUCGAGGGGAAACAACAUCGAAAUCUUGCUUUUGAUGUGCGGCCACCGGCGCACGGGAGAGGAACGCGUAUCCAACCUGCCCACCACUUAGGGAUAACCUUGCGAAAGUAAGACUAAUACCCAAUGACGUCUCUAUAAGACAUCUGAAAGAGAUGAAAUAUUUAUCGGUGAUGGAUGGGGAUGCGUCUGAUUAGCUUGUUGGCGGGGUAACGGCAUACCAAGGCGACGAUCAGUAGCGGUUCUGAGAGGAAGGUCCCCUAGAACGGAGCUGAGACACAGACCACAAUGGUAGGGGAGGCAGGAGUAAGGAAUACUAGUCAAUGGAGGAGGAUCUGACAACGCCACGUAGCGUGCAGGAUGCCGGGCCUAUGGGUUGUAUGCUACUUUUAUAAGGGAAUAAAGUGAGUAUCGUGAGACUUUUUGAAGGUACCUUAUGAAUAAGGACCGGCUAACUCCGUG
rnacentral:rRNA from 1 species